AUGUCGCGUGGCACACUCACUCCCAUUGGAAGUCACAAAAUCUCUCACCUAGAUCCACGCGUCAGAACAAUAUGUUUUUCUAGUGACCAGCUGCUCGAUGCCAAACUUGAUGGCUUGCAAAAGGGAAUUUCAUCGAUCAGAAAAGGGAUGUUGUGCUUGUCUUCACGCGGCCAAUGCGGCCGCAUCGGUUUAUGUCGUCUGUAUGUGAGCACACACUUGUCGGCGACAAGGACAAUUGCCUCUUCCCCGACCAAGAUUACUAGUUUUGUUUCAGUUUUAAGUCACCACUUGCAGCGAACUACCCUUACAGAACUUCCCAGGAAAGAGACACAUCAUUCACAUGAGUAG